CAGAUAACACGGUCGAUUACUCACGCAGAUUCAAGAAACCGUUAAGUUUAUUUUUAGUCCCUGGCUCUUGUCCACGCGUAGACCAAAUUAUGGUUUUAAUGUAUGAAUUGAAUAUAUAUCUAUAAUUUCAUAAUUAUUGGUCAUGUUGUGCGAAGAGACGAAAAUCACUUCGUAAAAAAAGUGAUAAGCCUUCGAAAGAACAAAAGAGAGCAACCUGAUGGAUACCUCUUGGAACCUUCUUCUACCUGAUGGAUUACUAGGAACAAAAUUUUACAACGAUAUAAAAUACCCGAAUUGACAACCCAAGACAGAACAUGCGCAGACAUAUUAGGAGAGCCGACCCCGUAUAAAGUGGGAAUGAGCAAAGAAGAAGAAAAGGAUCAAAAGAUUCGUCCCACAUUGCGAUUAAUUGCUUUUUUCAACCAAAUACUUAAAAAUUAGUUCAGCGGUUUAUUCACGGGAAAAAUAAAUAGGUAUAAUCUUUUAUCAAACCAAGAAAGAAAGGACUCGUGUCAGUCACUUCUGUGAAUUCUUACAAGUUACAAACAAAUAUAUCCACGUUCUGGGAUAUAAUGUUGAGCAAUCGUUUCGCCCGUGACAAGGGUAACCUAAGUACAUUUUUUGUGAUGUUCGGAGGCGGUGCCGUGUGCAGCAGUCGCUGGGGACUUACAGGUGCAGCGCGGACAGCAUUUCUUGCAGGUGUAAUAUAAUGUAGUAGGGGGACAGCCUAUCGCCAUUUCGUGUUAAAAUUCGCGACUACGCGGUUAUACUGAGUAAAUACUGUUGCCAUGCUUAUACUGGGUAAAAUCCCUGGAGUCUAGAGUUUGUGCCUGUUAUGGCGACAGUCUCACCUCUAUCACAUAAUGGGGAGGUACACACCUAGCGAAAAGUGGGUGCCUUGGCGGCACCUCUGCCUACUCCUUUCACCUUCGGGGAUAUGGGCGUGAUGCGUGUUUAUAUAUUGUGUAUAAUGUACUAUUUGAUUUUCUGUGAUUUUAGGACUCAAUUGUAAUAUCUAUUUAUAUAAUUGUAAUAUCGUUAUCACAAGCGUUUAACGUAACUCAUAAUAAAUAUUGCAAAUAGGAGGUAGGAUAUAUUUUAUAUCCGCCUGGUUAGCGACUACCGCAUACAAAAUGUAAAACCCGCCAUUGUUGCUUUCGCGUGUCGCGUUCCGGGAUCAGCCUAUAUAUAGUCGUUAUCAAACAGGCCAACAUAAUUGUAUGGACUAGCGAGAAAGAGAUAAUCAUUCUCAGUAAACUCUGGAUCCACUCUGCUUACCAUUUACCAUAAGGUGCAGUUAUUUUGCCCGUAUAAAAAAUAUAUUGAGAAUAAAAUAGGCUUACUUUUGCAAUUCCUUCCUUUGCUCCUGUAGAAUAAAUAAAGACAACAUAAGCUAACAUAAUGUAAGGAAUUUCUCUCGCUAUUUAAAAUAAUCCAUAACAAGCAAACGUUUUUACGCUCCAAGAUUAAAUACAGGAUCGUGUUUCGUGUCAAGUUUUUUAGAUAUCGGGGGUAUUUAAAAAACUGACUCAUUUGAUAUCGGGGAAGUAGUAUUUAUAAAAACUGACUCGUUUGCCCAACCUUACAUCUUGGUAGCGCUUUUUGUAUGGAAUUAACAUGUCCUACCGCGUUCGUCCACCCUCAUGAAAAGGGCUGGAGAAUGUAUGUUGUAAUCUGUUUGGUUUGAAAGAAUCGUGUUAUACCUAUGUUUGAUAUUAAAAUUAAACUAUUUUUUCGAAUUUUAUGGCGGUUUUAAUA
rnacentral:lncRNA from 1 species